UACGUAGGUCCCGAGCGUUGUCCGGAUUUAUUGGGCGUAGAGCGAGCGCAGGUGGUUUAUUAAGUCUGGUGUAAAAGGCAGUGGCUCAACCAUUGUAUGCAUUGGAAACUGGUAGACUUGAGUGCAGGAGAGGAGAAUGGAAUUCCAUGUGUAGCGGUGAAAUGCGUAGAUAUAUGGAGGAACACCGGUGGCGAAAGCGGCUCUCUGGCCUGUAACUGACACUGAGGCUCGAAAGCGUGGGGAGCAGACAGG
rnacentral:rRNA from 1 species